GUGUAUUUAGGUUUGUUAGGGGCAACCGAUACUCAAAUUUUGUCUUGAUUUAGCUUUGUUCCUAUCCUAAAAAGUUGUCAUAAGGACCACUAAUAAGGUUGCCUUUUAUCUGUAAUGAGGAUGGUUUGUAGCCUAGAGAACAAAGAUCCUUGAUAGUAAAUGAUGUGGAAACAAAAGCAAGAAAGGAGCUUGUUCUUAGGACUGUUUGUUAUUUGGGUGUUUCCACUGAGCUUUAGAAGCAAACUUACUGACUUGUUUUUCUGCCCUUAUUAGAGGUGGUUCAUAAGUAACUUCUAUUGCGUUAAUUUUCAGUUCACAGAAUUGCAGUGUUUUCAGUGGUUGUGUCAGCUUUGCGCGGCUUUUUGAUUUGUCACGUGCAGGUUUCCCUUAUCUAAAACUUGUGUACAAGUUCUUAACUUUUUUAAAUGUGUAGGAAAGGAGGUGGUGAAAGGUAUUGUGGUAAAUAGUCCUUGUCAGCUAAUUAUUUUCACAUUGUUCUGUAGGCUAGAACACUAUUUCAUUGACAAAAGUUGAAUGAAAAAUACAAGUAACCAGUUUGCUCAAGUGUGUAGACUUAGAUCAAAAUAAGGUAAAUGCAAUUAGCUCCUAUCCUGCCUUCCCUUUACUCAAUUACCAACUGCUUGCAGUAUAUAUUUGGAAUGUAUUGGAUACCAACUAUGGGACAUGACAGUGUGAGACCAAAGUGGGUCAUUCCAUGGGUUCAGUCACACAGAUGUCUUUGGAGUAGCACCAUAGCUGGCCUCUUUCCUAAACAAGGCUGGAUUUCAGGAAACUAUCCAACAAUAUGUCAGCAAAAUGCUACAAAUAACUUAAUCAGUAUGCUUAAUUUCUUAGUCUUUAUUAUGAAAGAAAACUGGGCAUUUUUGUUUGCACUUUCUAAUGAAUGAAAUCAUUUGUACUGUUUACAGACACUUUACCUGCUUCAGCAGUUCUCUACAAGAUUUUUCUUUGCUUCAAAUCCCUUCUGGAGGCAAGAAUAACCAUGCUGCCUGAGGGUGUUCAAGAAGAGUAAGAACAAGAGUCACAUACCCUAUUCCAGUAUUCUCAUACAGGUAAAUGGUGAGCAGUUGAAGCAAAAUCUGUUUGUCGCAGGAAAUAAAAAUUUGCAUGCUUUAGAAUGAGAGAGUUCUAGCAGAUAUGAAAGUGGCAAUUACAGUAAUAAAAGGUUAACUGUCUUGUUUGUUCUUGCAUAGCAGAUGGGGUGCCAUCAGAAGAGUCAUAUUUGAGUAACAUCAGUAAAAAAAAAAAAAGUUUUGGAUGGAUUCAAAGUAGCUUCAGCUGUGUUCAGCCAUUCCAAAGCUGGAGAGCAGACUGGCAGGUUCUCUUUAUUUCCUCCCUUUGCCUUAAUACAGAAGAAUCUGAAUUUGGUGUUUUUCCAGGCAGGCUGCAGAAGGUAGAUUUGCAUAUGUUGCAAAUCUGAGAUGUGUUCUCUGUAAUACUGCAGAGUUGGAGGAGAGGUAUUUAGAUAAUUUUCUGUUGAGAUAAAGACUUUGUUGUUAGUGAGAUGCUUAGGUACCUGUGCUCUGAUUAUUUAGCAUUAUGUAUUAUUUUGUAUUAAAUUCAGGUGUUUUCAUGGUUGCUAAAUAUAAGUAUCAGCUGCUAACAUCUUAUUCAUAUGCAAAGAGUAACUUUUUUGCUUGUCUAUAGCACUGCAAAAGCAGGGAGUGAAACUUGUAAGUGUACAAAUGAAGUAGGAAGUUGGUAGGUUUAACCUAGAAAUUAUUUUCUUUAGGAAAUGCUAGUCUAAAGUGAGAGAUUUGUUUUUUUACUUGAGGCAUACCUACAAAACAAAAAUCAGUAGCUGAGCAAAUUAGUAUUUAUAUUUAUUAUUUAAACAAUCAUCUUUUUUUACCUUUCCAGAACUUCUGCAACAAGAUGUGAUUCUUAUUUCAUAAUUGUUGCAAUAGAAUUCUUGGGCUGUUUUCCAGAAUGUAAAUUUGACAGGGGUUCCUCAAUGUUUCAGUGAAAAGUACUUGAAAAACCUUCAGGAAGUGGACUCAGCAAGUGUCAGAGGGCAGUUUCCUAAGGUCUUAAAAUGUUAAUAAUUCAACUGGAGAAAUCAGAAAACAUUGAAUAAAUUCUGAUAAUUGCCUCAUAAGUAAAUAUAGUUUUCAUUGCCAUGAAAAGUGUUGGUGCUUGUGUUUAUCAGCUUUAAAGACCUUCUGUCUCCAUCUGUUUAUAUUGCUGCUGUGAAUGAUGACUGAUGUUGCCAACUGAUUGAUUACUUCAGGUCUGUGACAGAACAGAUACAAAAAGCUCUUCAUGUAUACAGGAGAUAAUGUCCUUAUUUCUUAUUCAGACAGUCUAUAAAUAUGCAAAAGUUUUGUGUGUCACAUAUUGGUACUGUUAAUCUAAUAUAUUGCUAAUAGGCAUUGUCAGAUAAUAUGACUAAGAAAUAUAAAAUAUGCUUUUUAUAACACUUAUUUCCCGUAAUGCUGCUUCUGGUUUUCAGAUGGCUAGGACAAAAGGUAACUUUCUCUGGAGUCUGCAGGUCUGGUCUGAAACUUACUGAACUCAGUAACAAAUUAAUCUGAUUUCAGUGACCUUUCAGUCAACAUGGCUUUUGCUGGUCAUUGUGAGGGCUGUUCCUUUCUCAUUUCCUUUAUCAGUGAGAAUCUGUUAAAGCAGCUAUUUCCUGUCUUUGUGGAAUGAUCUUUACCUUUUACUUGUUUUAAACUCAUUUCUACUUUAAAAGACAAAAGAGGGAAUGAUACAGUUACCAAAGCCAGUAUAUUUGAGAUUCCUAUCUAACUGCUAAAUGUGUUGAAAUGAGCUGAUGAAAAAGCUAAUGGAAAGUCUGACAGGUAUACAGGCAUAAAAACCUUCACUGUGAGCUUUGUUGCUUUAAAUAGGUUAUGAACAAAAGUACUUUAUUUUGUAGCUAUUAUACCACUUUUUUAAAGAAUUGCUAUCUAUUUUAGUCAACACAACAAACGAGGGAGUAGACAGUAUGAUUUGCCAGGAGUGUACUGAGUAUUGUUUGAAAGUAAUAUUUAUAAUUGAAAUAGAUGGUUUUUUGCAACUCUUGGUGGCCUUGGCUGAAAAUUAUACCCGAGGUCUUAACAGCCUGGGAUCACAGCAUCAGGGACUGUAAACCAGUUUUUUCUUGCUUUAAUACUUAACUGGUGAUCAAGAGCUGUUAGCAUAAACACAGUGUGUAUUGUUUAAAUAACAAACAUUAAAGCUCUUAGGAACCAGGGAAUACUAGUCUUCAGCAGUGGUCUUGUUUGCUUUUCUGUUAAGAGAUUCAACUUUAUCCUUUUUCACUUUGGCAAACUGGUUAUGGAAAUCCAUAUUGUUAAAAUAUGUUUGAAUGCUUAAUCCUUUGUGAAAAAAUGGUGAAGAAUUAAGAAUUGCCUCUCAUGUUUAUUGGUAGAAAAAAUAGGUGGUGUUCAUCAGAAAAGUCCAGGAGUAUAUUGACUUAGUCAUCUUCAAUAAACAUCAAGAUUGUUCAUGGUGCCCACUGGGUAUCAUAAAAGAAUAUAAAAUCUGGAGAUUACGUGGGCCAAGGUGACUUUUAUCAGAUCUGUAACUGCAUGGACUGCUAACUGUAAUUGAUCUUUUGGGAGUACAGAUAUUGCAGUUUAGUUAUUCCCCUGUCUUCCUGUGUAUAGCAAUGUAACCCCAGUGGACAGAGCUCUGACUUCAGUCAUGAGACUUUCAUUCUCACAGUAGGAGAAUCAGUAUUAAGUACACUAUGAGAUCAAGGAAAAAAAAUUCCAGUUAGAGCACAACUUCAGAAACCACAGGCCUCGAUCCCGCAGGAAAUGUCUGAAUAGAUGUGCUACUGUACCAAUAUAUGUGAAGAAUUGAAA